AUUUCAUCAGAAGUCUAUAUAUGUAAAACCAGAUACAACAGUGUUGACUUUCCCUGAGGCAUCUCCAUCAAAUUCUGAAGGAGAAAUAAUUGAGGAGCAGAAGAGUGAAAGAGAUUUUGAAUCUUUAGAA